GGGGAAUAUUGCACAAUGGGGGAAACCCUGAUGCAGCGACGCCGCGUGGAGGAAGAAGGUCUUCGGAUUGUAAACUCCUGUUGUUGGGGAAGAUAAUGACGGUACUCAACAAGGAAGUGACGGCUAACUACGUGCCAGCAGCCGCGGUAAAACGUAGGUCACAAGCGUUGUCCGGAAUUACUGGGUGUAAAGGGAGCGCAGGCGGGAAGACAAGUUGGAAGUGAAAUCUAUGGGCUCAACCCAUAAACUGCUUUCAAAACUGUUUUUCUUGAGUAGUGCAGAGGUAGGCGGAAUUCCCGGUGUAGCGGUGGAAUGCGUAGAUAUCGGGAGGAACACCAGUGGCGAAGGCGGCCUACUGGGCACCAACUGACGCUGAGGCUCGAAAGUGUGGGUAGCAAACAGGAUUAGAUACCCUGGUAGUCCACACCGUAAACGAUGAUUACUAGGUGUUGGAGGAUUGACCCCUUCAGUGCCGCAGUUAACACAAUAAGUAAUCCACCUGGGGAGUACGACCGCAAGGUUGAAACUCAAAGGAAUUGACGGGGGCCCGCACAAGCAGUGGAGUAUGUGGUUUAAUUCGACGCAACGCGAAGAACCUUACCAAGUCUUGACAUCCUGCGACGAUGCUGGAAACAGUAUUUUCCUUCGGGACGCAGAGACAGGUGGUGCAUGGUUGUCGUCAGCUCGUGUCGUGAGAUGUUGGGUUAAGUCCCGCAACGAGCGCAACCCUUACUGUCAGUUACUACGUUAAGAGGACUCUGGCGAGACUGCCGUUGACAAAACGGAGGAAGGUGGGGAUGACGUCAAAUCAUCAUGCCCUUUAUGACCUGGGCUACACACGUACUACAAUGGCGUUAAACAAAGAGAAGCAAGACCGCGAGGUGGAGCAAAACUCAAAAACAACGUCUCAGUUCAGAUUGCAGGCUGCAACUCGCCUGCAUGAAGUCGGAAUUGCUAGUAAUCGCGGAUCAGCAUGCCGCGGUGAAUACGUUCCCG
rnacentral:rRNA from 1 species